rnacentral:lncRNA from 1 species
UAAGACAAUUUAGCGCUAUGUUAAGCAAUCGUAAGUGGACUAAUGUAGUAGUCACACCUAUCUGAGGCUGGUCAAUGAAACUAUAGGCAAAUAAACACAAGUUAGAGAUCAUGACUAGUAAGCCAAGCUCCUACAACUUGCCAUGCCAAAAGAAAAGAAGGAAAGCCUUGUAUGGACUUUAGGCUUUUUGCUUGACCAAGAAGCAACCUAUCUUGGACACAAAGCAACUCACUUGAUCUUUG